UUCCAGCUCCAAUAGAGUAUAUAAACGUUCCUGCAGUUAUUCGAUGCUCGUAGUUGGAUUUCUGAGGUUGAGACGGGAGGGUGGCUAUGGCCAUCGCCCGACUCUUUCCUCAUCCACCUGUUUGCGAAUCCCGGGAUUGAUUUCUCGGUUUCGGGCGCAGGAUCUUACCAUUUCAUAUUGCGUAGUCUUCAUCGAUUAUGUUGUUUCUUUGAGCAAAUUAUAGUGUUUCAGGCAGGCGUGCGCCGGAAUACGUUAGCAUGGUAUAAACGAAUUGGACCGUGUGCCCGUAACUGGGCUUCUCCUUAUUGUUGGUUUGAAGGACACGGAGAUGGUUAAUAGGGACAGAAUUUAUUCAGGGGGAGGCAUUAGUAUUUAAUUUCCAGAGGUGAAAUUCUUUGAAAUAUUAAAGACUAACAUAUGCGAAAGCAUUCUUUGCCAAUGAUGUUUUCAUUAAUCAUUGAACGAAAGUUAGGGGAUCAAAGACGAUCAGAUACCGUCCUAGUCUUAACCAUAAACGUUGCCGACUAGGGAUCGGAGGGCGUGCACAUUCCGCCUUCGGCACCUUACGAGAAAUCAAAGUCUUUUGGGUUCUGUGGGUAGUAUGGUCGCAAGGCUGAAACUUAAAGGAAUUGACGGAAGGGCACCACCAGGAGUGGAGCUUGCGGCUCAAUUUGACUCAACACGGGAAAUCUUACCAGGUCCAGACAUAGCGAGGAUUGACAGAUUGAUAGCUCUUUCUUGAUUCUAUGGGUAUUUUGGUGGUGCAUGGCCGUUCUUAGUUCGUGGAGUGAUUCGUCUGGUUAAUUCCGUUAAACGAACGAGACCUCAGCCUGCUAAAUAGUUGCUCGUCGAAUAUACGUGACUUGACAACUUCUUAGAGGGACUUUGUGUGCAACCACAAGGAAGUUUGAGGCAAUAACAGGUCUGUGAUGCCCUUAGAUGUCCUGGGCCGCACGCGUGCUACACUGAUACGUACAACGAGGUAUAUGUACUUGUACAUCGAUGCUGCUCCGAAAUAGACGAGCUUAAUCUUAUAAAUACGUAUCGUGCUGCGGAUAGAUCGUUGAAAUUAUGAAUCUUGAAGGUGGAAUUCCUAGUAAGCGCGGGUCACUAACCCGCGUUGAUUACGUCCCUGCCCUU
rnacentral:rRNA from 1 species